ACCUUAUCCAGAGUUGGCGGAGGGACGGACCCUGAGAAGCCCAGCAACCUAUAAUACCUUAACUGAAAAUAUUGCGUUAUAGUAUUAUGUUGGUGCUAAUUCCCGCGGAAUUACAAUUCCGAGAGAUAAGAU
rnacentral:ncRNA from 2 species